GCAGAAUCUUUUCGGCCGCAACGUGCAUGAGAAUCACCUGGAAACCUUGUUCAGAUUCUACCUGUGACUCGGUCUCCAGGCUUCCUUUGGGUUGACUUGGCUGAGUGACAUCUGGCCCAGCACUCCGGGGCCAUGCAAAGACCUUGGGGUGUGCUCCUCCCCCAGCAUCUGGAAUGUUAUUGCUCCGUCUGCUCUGCUGUGGUCCCUCCAGUGGGCCACUGGCUCGGUCAGCUUUCCCAGUCUCUCCAUAGCAGGUUUUGACCGCAUCUUCAAACUGGAGUAGUCAAUACUGUAUGUGACAAGGGAAUACUGUGUGUGACAAGGAAAGUUUUAAGGCUCAUGACUGUAAUCCCAGCACUUUGGGAGGCAGAGGCAGGUGGAUCACCUGAGGUCAGGAGUUCAAGACCAGCCUGGCCAACAUGGUGAAACCCUGUCUCUACAAAAAUACAAAAAUUAUCUGCGCACGAUGGCAGGUGCCUGUAAUUCCAGCUACUCGAGAGGCUGGGGCAGAAGAAUUGCUUGAACCCAGCAGGCAGAGGCUGCAGUGAGCCGAGAUCAUGCCACCAUGCCAUUGCACUCCAGCCUGGGCGACAGAGUGAGACUCCAUCUCAAAGAAAAAAAAAAAGCAACUACUGUUCCAGAUUCCCAAGUUUCUGGUUAAAACUGCCUUCUCCUUUCUCUUCUCAGUGUAUUUGUCACUAAAGAAAGACACCUUCUCACCUACAUUGUACCUCACAUUGCUCCAAGGUGGAAACACUUGUCAGGUGCCAAAGAGGCAGUCUGACAACUUCAAAACCUCAUAAUACAUUAUCAAGAUGUGUAAUAUAUUUGUGUUGUUUGUAGCAAUGCUGUGUUGAUAUUAAUUAUAGUUCCCAUGAUUUGAG
rnacentral:lncRNA from 1 species